rnacentral:rRNA from 1 species
GAUGAACGCUGGCGGCGUGCCUAACACAUGCAAGUCGAGCGAAGCACUUUGCUUGGAUUCUUCGGAUGAAGAGGAUUGUGACUGAGCGGCGACGGGUGAGUAACGCGUGGGUAACCUGCCUCAUACAGGGGGAUAACAGUUGGAAACGACUGCUAAUACCGCAUAAUGUCAUUCGGAGGCAUCUCUGAGUGACCAAAGAUUUAUUGCUGAAAGAUGACCUCGCGUCUGAUUAGCUGGUUGGUGAGGUAAUGGCUCACCAAGGCGACGAUCAGUAGCCGGACUGAGAGGUUGAACGGCCACAUUGGGACUGAGAUACGGCCCAG